GUCUACGGACAUGCCACCCUGAACAUGCCCGAUCUCAUCUGAUCUCAGAAGCUAAGCAGGGUUGGGCCUGGUUAGUAUUUGGAUGGGAGACCACCUAGGAAGAUCAGGUGCUGUAGGCA
rnacentral:rRNA from 1 species